UUAUGGUUAGUAUAUUUAUAGUACAAAAAUUUUUGAUAUUUUAGGAGAUAGAUUAAUUCUAUUAGCAUAAU
rnacentral:tRNA from 1 species